rnacentral:rRNA from 1 species
GUGCCAGCAGCCGCGGUAAUACGAGGGGAGCUAGCGUUAUUCGGAAUUACUGGGCGUAAAGCGCACGUAGGCGGCUUUGUAAGUUAGAGGUGAAAGCCCGGGGCUCAACUCCGGAGUUGCCUUUAAAACUGCUUCGCUUGAAUCCAGGAGAGGUGGGUGGUUCUCCGGUGUCGNGGUGUUGUCCGUUGUUGUUCGGGGCCCCUCCUGUGGCGUGGGCGGCUCUCUGGACUGGUAUUGCCGCUGUGGUGCGGAAGCGUGGGGAGCAAACACGAUUAGAUACCCUGGUAGUCC